rnacentral:rRNA from 1 species
AAGCAACGCGAAGAACCUUAACCAGGUCGUUGACAUCCCGAUGCUAUUUCUUAGAGAUAGAAAGUUACUUCGGUACAUCGGUGACAGGUGGUGCAUGGUUGUCGUCAGCUCGUGUCGUGAGAUGUUGGGUUAAGUCCCGCAACGAGCGCAACCCCUAUUGUUAGUUGCCAUCAUUCAGUUGGGCACUCUAGCGAGACUGCCGGUAAUAAACCGGAGGAAGGUGGGGAUGACGUCAAAUCAUCAUGCCCCUUAUGACCUGGGCUACACACGUGCUACAAUGGUUGGUACAACGAGUUGCGAGUCGGUGACGGCGAGCUAAUCUCUUAAAGCUAAUCUCAGUUCGGAUUGUAGGCUGCAACUCGCCUACAUGAAGUCGGAAUCGCUAGUAAUCGCGGAUCAGCACGCCGCGGUGAAUACGUUCCCGGGCCUU